AGAGUUUGAUCCUGGCUCAGAACGAACGCUGGCGGCGUGGAUAAGACAUGCAAGUCGAACGAGACUUUUUCUGGUAGCAAUACCGGGAAAAGUUUAGUGGCGAAUGGGUGCGUAACACGUGGGCAAUUUGCCUUAAAGUGGGGGAUAGCUCGGCGAAAGCCGAAUUAAUACCGCAUGUGAUCAGCUAAGACAUCUUGGCAACAUCAAAGCCGGGGCAACCUGGCGCUUUUAGAGGAGCCCGCGGCCUAUCAGCUAGUUGGUGAGGUAACGGCUCACCAAGGCUAUGACGGGUAGCUGGUCUGAGAGGACGACCAGCCACACUGGAACUGAGACACGGUCCAGACACCUACGGGUGGCAGCAGUCGAGAAUUUUUCUCAAUGGGGGAAACCCUGAAGGAGCGACGCCGCGUGGAGGAUGAAGGCUUUCGGGUUGUAAACUAGCUGUCAUUUGGGAACAAUGCUAUUCGGUUAACUGCCGAGUAGUUGAUAGACCAGAAAGAGAAGAACCGA
rnacentral:rRNA from 1 species